ACGUUGUAAAAAUUGCCAUCAUUUAGUUUCCGGCACUCUAGGGAGACUGCCGGUGACAAACCGGAGGAAAGUGGGGACAGACAUCUAGUCAUCAUGGGCCUUACGACCCGGGCUACACACGUGCUACAAUGGGGCGUACAAAGGGCUGCGACCUCGCGAGAGUGAGCUAAUCCCAUAAAACGCUUCGUAGUCCGGAUCGCAGUCUGCAACUCGACUGCGUGAAGUCUGAAUCCCUAGUAAUCGUAGAUCACAAUGCUACGGUGAAUACUUCCCCGGCCUUGUACACACCGCCC
rnacentral:rRNA from 1 species